rnacentral:sRNA from 1 species
ACACGCGCGCUUCGGCAUGGCGGCACACCGCCCCGGCACGCUCAAGCAGCAGAAUAAAGCUCAUAAAGGCGGGCGGCAUCGGGGUCGGGGAUCUGCACAGCGGGACGGCAAGGGUAAGAAGAUAACGUAGAAGGAAUAAGGGCUAUUUGGCCGUUAUUAACUCUUUUUCCCCAUGCCCAGACUGAGCUUCUGUCUCCCGUCUGGGCUUCACGCGAAAGGCCCUUUCUAAGGUGGGCGGAGAGGAGUCCCUUUUCUUGACCUUGUUGUGGGGCCGAUCACGCCAGCCCCUUCUAAUCUGCCCUUCAGGCCGUCUAGCACUGAAAACCCUAAGCAAGAAGGUGAGAAAAGAACUCAGUAGAGUCGACCAGAGGCAUCGCGCCAGCCAGCUCCGAAAGCAGAAGAAGGAGGCGGUUCUGGCAGAGAAGAGACAGCUGGGUGGCAAGGAUGGCCCUCCUCAUCAGGUACUGGUGGUACCUCUGCACAGCAGAAUUUCCCUGCCAGAGGCCAUGCAGCUGCUUCAAGAUAGGGACACUGGAACAGUACACUUGAAUGAAUUGGGAAACACUCAGAGCUUUA